rnacentral:lncRNA from 1 species
GGCGGAGUGACCACAUAGAGUAAAAAGAAUGUAACCCUCUUUGGUUUUAUGUGUUUUGGCUCAGGUUGGACAUACUUAUAUAAAUGUGAUUGACAUUGAAGCUAAUGAUCUUCUACAGGAAUUACCUGUGAGAGAAGAGCCUUCAAAUGAUAAUGUUAUCAAACAGCAAAGCGAUCAUCUAGCAGUUCCAUCGUCUGCAGAGUUACAUUAUAUGGCAGCUUCAGUUACUAAUGCUGUUCCCCCACAUAAUUUUAAGAGUCAAGAAGUAACUCCAGCUUGUCUGGAUGGAAAAAGCUUGAGAGCAGGCAUUACAGAAGUGAAGGAGCCUAGUGUCACCUCACCUACACCAUCAGACAUACAGCAGAACAAAGGUCUGCCAAAACCAGAGUUCCGAUUCAAAGGACAGAGCACAAAGUCAGACUCUGCAGAAGAUUAUCUAUUGUGGAAACGGCUGCAAGGU